rfam:Paenibacillus sp. Soil750 contig_38, whole genome shotgun sequence.
GCCACAUAACUAUGAAUCGUUCGUAUAUCCUCGAGGAUUGGCUUGGGGGUCUCUAGAGGAAGCCAUAACUUCCUAGCUACGACGGGUGCUCUUUUUCGC